GGGAUAACACUGACGUUCAUGCCNGAAAGCGUGGGUAGCAAACAGGAUUAGAUACCCUGGUAGUCCACGCCNUAAACGAUGUCGAUUAGCUGUUGGGCAGCAUGACUGCUUAGUAGCGAAGCUAACGCGUGAAAUCGNCCGCCUGGGGAGUACGGUCGCAAGAUUAAAACUCAAAGGAAUUGACGGGGACCCGCACAAGCGGUGGAUGAUGUGGAUUAAUUCGAUGCAACGCGAAGAACCUUACCUGGUCUUGACAUGUACGGAACCCUUCAGAGACGGAGGGGUGCCUUCGGGAGCCGUAACACAGGUGCUGCAUGGCUGUCGUCAGCUCGUGUCGUGAGAUGUUGGGUUAANUNNNNNAAANNAGCGCAACCCUUGUCAUUAGUUGCCAUCAUUAAGUUGGGCACUCUAAUGAGACUGCCGGUGACAAGCCGGAGGAAGGUGGGGAUGACGUCAAGUCCUCAUGGCCCUUAUGNCCAGGGCUUCACACGUCAUACAAUGGUCGGUACAGAGGGUAGCCAAGCCGCGAGGCGGAGCCAAUCUCACAAAACCGAUCGUAGUCCGGAUUGCACUCUGCAACUNG
rnacentral:rRNA from 1 species